GGGAAUAUAGUUAAAAAUAACAUCUAAUUUGCAAUUAGAAGGUACUAUAUAGUUAUUCUCG
rnacentral:tRNA from 1 species